rnacentral:rRNA from 1 species
GAUCCUGGCUCAGGAUGAACGCUGGCGGCGCGCCUAACACAUGCAAGUCGAACGAUUAAAGCACCUUCGGGUGUGUAUAAAGUGGCGAACGGCUGAGUAACACGUGGGCAACCUGCCCCUCUCAUUGGGAUAGCCACGGGAAACCGUGGAUAAUACCGAAUACUUCGAGACUUCCGCAUGGAAGACUCGAGAAAGCUCCGGCGGAGAGGGAUGGGCCCGCGGCCUGUUAGCUUGUUGGUGGGGUAACGGCCUACCAAGG